UCCUGGCUAGGACGAACGCUGGCGGCGUGCCUAACACAUGCAAGUCGAGCGGGGAAGAGGGUUCGCUUCUUCCUAGCGGCGGACGGGUGAGUAACACGUGGGCAACCUGCCCUAAGGAGCGGGAUAACACCAGGAAACUGGUGCUAAUACCGCAUAAAGUAUCUUCGGCACAUGCCGAAGCUAUUAAAGAUUUAUCGCCUUAGGAUGGGCCCGCGUCCCAUUAGCCAGUUGGUGAGGUAACGGCUCACCAAAGCUACGAUGGGUAGCCGACCUGAGAGGGUGAUCGGCCACAUUGGAACUGAGACACGGUCCAGACUCCUACGGGAGGCAGCAGUGGGGAAUAUUGCACAAUGGGGGAAACCCUGAUGCGGCCAACGCCGCGUGAGCGAUGAAGGCCUUCGGGUUGUAAAGCUCUGUCUUCGCUGACGAUAAUGACGGUAAGCGAGGAGGAAGCCACGGCUAACUACGUGCCAGCCGCCGC
rnacentral:rRNA from 1 species